UACGGGGGGGGCAAGCGUUGUUCGGAAUUACUGGGCGUAAAGGGCUCGUAGGCGGCCAACUAAGUCAGACGUGAAAUCCCUCGGCUUAACCGGGGAACUGCGUCUGAUACUGGAUGGCUUGAGUUCGGGAGAGGGAUGCGGAAUUCCAGGUGUAGCGGUGAAAUGCGUAGAUAUCGAGAGGAACACCUGCGGCGAAGGCGGGUUGCUGGGCUGACACUGACGCUGAUGCGCGAAAGCCAGGGGAGCGAACGGG
rnacentral:rRNA from 1 species